UGUCUCGGGUGCACCUUCCCGUGCUUUUUAGAACAUACAUGGGAUCUGUCCUAUCAUGAUCGCAUCGUACUACGUCUUCUUUUCUUCCUGGCCUGAUGAUAUGGCGGCCUGCGCCGACCACUUUUCUCUUUCUUGACGAAGACAUAGAAUGGGGGCCCGCCUGUUUAGUCGGGUCCGGUUUGAGCAGAAUGGGCCCGUAGCUCAAUUGGUUAGAGCACACGCUUGAUAAGCGUGGGGUCGGAAGUGCAAGUCUUCCCGGGCCCACCAUUUGCAUUUGCAGAUGGGGGUUGGGAAAUGACGUGCUGGCGCGCAUCAGUUGUCGAACCUGAGAUCCAUCCUGCGAUCACCGCUGAUGUUGCUGUCCCUCAGCUGUCAGAUCACCCGCUUUGCAUGCCUGCGGACAGCUUGUUCGAUCCCGCUCAGCUCCACCAAAUGUUUUGGUGUUGAGACUGACGGUUGACGG
rnacentral:tRNA from 1 species